rnacentral:rRNA from 1 species
GACGAACGCUGGCGGCGCGCUUAAUACAUGCAAGUCGAGCGAGAACUAGGGCUUCGGCCCUGGGGACAGCGGCGAACGGGUGAGUAACACGUGGGUAAUCAACCCCCGACACCGGGAUAGCCCAGGGAAACUUGGAUUAAUACCGGAUGCCCCAUCUGGCUUUCGAGCCGGCUGGCAAAGGGUAGCUUCGGCCUCCGGUCGGGGACGAGCCCGCGGCGGAUUAGCUUGUUGGUGAGGUAAAGGCUCACCAAGGCGACGAUCCGUAGCUGGUCUGAGAGGACGAUCAGCCACACUGGGACUGAGACACGGCCCAGACUCCUACGGGAGGCAGCAGUAGGGAAUCUUGCGCAAUGGGCGAAGGCCUGACGCAGCGACGCCGCGUGAGGGAAGAAGGCCUUCGGGUUGUAAACCUCUUUCAGGAGGGACGAAGCCACUCGGGUUAAUAGCCUAGAGGGUGACGGUACCUCCAGAAGAAGCCCCGGCUAACUACGUGCCAGCCGCCGCCGUAA